AAGUCGUAACAAGGUUUCCGUAGGUGAACCUGCGGAAGGAUCAUUAAAGAAUAAACUUGGUGGAUUGUCGCUGGCUCUCUCGAGGGCAUGUGCACGUCUGUCAUCUUUAUAUUUCCACCUGUGCACCUUUUGUAGACCUGGAUGCAAAUUUUCUGAGGUAGACUCAGUCGUGGGGAUCGUCGGCGUCCUUUGGGAUAUCGGCUUUCCUUGUAGUGUCCAGUGCCUAUGUUUUUCAUAUACACCAAUGAAUGAAAUAGAAUGUAACUUUUAAAGGUCUUUGCACCUAUAAAAAACUAUACAACUUUCAGCAACGGAUCUCUUGGCUCUC
rnacentral:misc_RNA from 1 species